GAUUGUUUUCUUUAAUACCAAAGCCUGCAAUAGCAAGCGAUAAGUUUGCUGAGUAAUUUGGUUUUUGGUGAGGAAAUAAAAUUCAGCUGUACUGCCAACGCCGUCCUCAGGAUCAGGCCCACCUUCUUCAUCCCGAAAGCUUCCACAAAGAGGAAGGCAAAGGAGGGAAAGAGAACCCUGAAGGCCCAGCGCUAUCCCCGCUUCUGAGGGUCCUCAGCUCCGGGAUUUGCAUUUGCGCACUUUCAGAUCCGUGAUCUUCCAACUUGAACGUGCGUAGGAGUGACUCGCCUGGGGAUCCUGUUGAAAUGCUCUGACUCAGUUAAGUAUGGGGUGGGACCCGCUCAAAGCUGCUUUACCAACAAGCUCCUGGGUGAUUCCCACGCUGCUGGCGCGUGGACCACGCCUGGGGUGCAGGGUUUGGACCCUCACAAGAUAUCACUGACAGGAGAGAUACUGAGCGAAUUCCCUGGAAAAGCCUGCAGUCCCAUCCCUCCGCGGGCGCGUUCGGUUCACGAGGAGGAAUCCAUGUGCCGUCGGGGCUAGCUCUCAGACGGAGAAACCCGUCAUCGCAGACGCUCCUCGCCUCCCCCGUGUGAAUAUCACCUUGGAAAAGGGCUGAGGGGCCCCCAGGUCUUUUUCAGUUGUAUUUCAUAGCAGAUAUUCCCUGAGGCCCAAAUGACAGGCCUGGAAGUGGCUGUGUGCUGGGCCAAGGAUUUCCGUCAGGCCGCAGCCAUCUCCUGUUCCUCCCACCUGCC
ensembl:lncRNA